rnacentral:rRNA from 1 species
AUUGAACGCUGGCGGCAGGCCUAACACAUGCAAGUCGAGCGGAUGACGGGAGCUUGCUCCUUGAUUCAGCGGCGGACGGGUGAGUAAUGCCUAGGAAUCUGCCUGGUAGUGGGGGACAACGUUUCGAAAGGAACGCUAAUACCGCAUACGUCCUACGGGAGAAAGCAGGGACCUUCGGGCCUUGCGCUAUCAGAUGAGCCUAGGUCGGAUUAGCUAGUUGGUGGGGUAAUGGCUCACCAAGGCGACGAUCCGUAACUGGUCUGAGAGGAUGAUCAGUCACACUGGAACUGAGACACGGUCCAGACUCCCACGGGAGGCAGCAGUGGGGAAUAUUGGACAAUGGGCGAAAGCCUGAUCCAGCCAUGCCGCGUGUGUGAAGAAGGUCUUCGGAUUGUAAAGCACUUUAAGUUGGGAGGAAGGGCAGUAAGCUAAUACCUUGCUGUUUUGACGUUACCGACAGAAUAAGCACCGGCUAACUCUGUGCCAGCCGCCGCGGUAA